GACGAACGCUGGCGGCGUGCCUCAUACAUGCAAGUCGAGCGAGAACCUCGGAAGGGGUAACCCUUCUGAGGGGAGAGCGGCGAACGGGUGCGUAACACGUGGGCAACCUGCCCUUGACUCUGGGAUAACCCCGGGAAACCGGAGCUAAUACCGGAUACGCUCGCGGAACCUCAUGGCUCUGCGAGGAAAGUCUUCUCGGUCAAGGAUGGGCCCGCGGACUAUCAGCUUGUUGGUGGGGUAACGGCCCACCAAGGCGACGACGGGUAGCUGGUCUCAUAGGACGGCCAGCCACACUUGUACUGAGAUACGGUCCAGACUCCUACGGGAGGCAGGAGUAGGGAAUCUUGCACAAUGGGCGAACGCCUGAUGCAGCGACGCCGCGUGAGGGAUGAAGGCCCUCGGGUUGUACACCUCUUUCAGCAGGGACGAAGCGACUAGUGACGGUACCUGCAGAAGAAGUCCCGGCUAACUACGUGCCAGCCGCCGCCGUAAGAC
rnacentral:rRNA from 1 species